GAUGAACGCUGGCGGCGUGCCUAAUACAUGCAAGUCGAGCGAACAGAUGAGGAGCUUGCUCCUCUGACGUUAGCGGCGGACGGGUGAGUAACACGUGGAUAACCUACCUAUAAGACUGGGAUAACUUCGGGAAACCGGAGCUAAUACCGGAUAAUAUAUUGAACCGCAUGGUUCAAUAUUGAAAGACGGUUUUGCUGUCACUUAUAGAUGGAUCCGCGCCGCAUUAGCUAGUUGGUAAGGUAACGGCUUACCAAGGCGACGAUGCGUAGCCGACCUGAGAGGGUGAUCGGCCACACUGGAACUGAGACACGGUCCAGACUCCUACGGGAGGCAGCAGUAGGGAAUCUUCCGCAAUGGGCGAAAGCCUGACGGAGCAACGCCGCGUGAGUGAUGAAGGUCUUCGGAUCGUAAAACUCUGUUAUUAGGGAAGAACAAAUGUGUAAGUAACUAUGCACGUCUUGACGGUACCUAAUCAGAAAGCCACGGCUAACUACGUG
rnacentral:rRNA from 1 species